GCGUUCAUUUGCAGCAGAUUUGCAGUAGAUGGGGUUUGACUCACUCACUAAACGCGUUUUGGUGAAGAAAUGUCGUCACGGCUGCAUUCGAGCUUUUCACCCUGAUUAGUGCUUGUCAUUUCUCAAGUCAAUGAUGAGUCAAGAACAAAGUUACAAGGAAGUAGAUAUUAUGAAAGAAGACUAACUAGUAAAACAAGUGUUAGUGAACUUGCUGAUAAACUGUCCUCAUUACAGAACUGCACAGAUCAUAAUCAUAAUUUCAAGGGACUGAAACAUCUGCAAUUCUAGUUUGGAGAGCCUCUAGAAAGCUGCUAAAGAACAUCGACGACAUUUUUU